UACCUCCCCCAUGCCGCCGGCCCACCUGCCUCCCCCACGCCGCCUGUCCGCCACCCCACAGCCUCGUUCCCCCGCGCCGCCGCGGCGCCAUCGCCUCGAUGCGCCUCCACCUCUCCCACGCCCAGAUCCGCAUCUCCCCGGUAGCCGUCGCCCCUGCUUCACCCCCUUCUUCUCCACCGAUGGAGAGGGGAAAGGUAGAGGGGUAGGCCAAGAACAGUAGAGGAGACGGGGAGACCAGCGACGGGGAGGCGCACAGGAAAGGCUCGCACAGGGCAUCUGGUGGUCGGGGUGAGCCAUGGCGACCGCGCCUGUCUCCCGAUGUUGUACUGCGUACCCGUGACGGCCGGCGAUGAGUGGGGUAUGGAGAAUCUGCUCGUGAUGCAGAGCAGAGAGGAGCUCAGCACCGUCGUCCUUGUUCGCCGGAAGCUCGUGACUGGAUCCAGGCGUCUCGGUGCCCGCGGGAGGAGGCGUGUGCUCCCCCGUGCCCUUCCAAUCGCUGGUUGACUGGCCAUGCAGUUCGGAAAGAUUUUUUCAGAUUUGGCCGUUGAUGUGCAGUUCGCCAGUGAUAGGAGUGCAUCACGGCCGAGCAGCAUGAAGCUCGGUUGCUCGGGCGUGCGGUUCGCCCAGCUUGUUCAUUUUCAAUGUUUGUCCCCUGGCAACGACAAUUUCCCGUUGUGGUAGCCUCCCCUCUCCUCUUGUUCUAGCCAUGCCUCCUGCUGACAGGGUCGACGCAAAUGCUGGCGCGACCACAACAUCUCCAGCGUGGACGACUCCCUUCAGGCAUGUGGUUUGUUUGCAGUCGGCCUGUGGUUCGUUUUGCGGGGUCCUGGCCGUGCCAUUGCAGUGCAUCUGCAUCCCUCGAGCAUUGCACCGCGUGCCCUCAUGCGGUUCAGCCACGGGCAUCCGGCAAUUUUUUUGGCUUCUGCUGUUCUACAGUUUCGUACCCCUGUGUCGAGUGCAGCUCAUUUACUUUUUAGGCUCUUGGCUGUAGUUGGUUAUUUGGAAACGGGAUGGCCCAAACUUCACUUA